UUUUUUUUUUUUUUUUUUUUUUUUUUGCUUUUCAACCAUUCAAUUACAGUCAGAAGAUAAAUGAAACAUGAAGAGUGUCUUGGUUAGGUAGUGACACAAUUAUUUCAUAGCGAGUAGGUUCUGGCUCUGAGCCUUGGCAAAGGUUGCCAUGCACACCUUGUUUCACUAGAUGCAGAUAAUCUGCCUGCUCCCACCAGACAAAUCCCCUCUGCUUGGAGGUGUGUCCUUCUGCCCAUCACAGGAGGAGAAAAAAGACACCAGCAACUCGGCAGCACUCUUGCCCUGCAUUUCAAUCUCCUCCAGAAAGGCUGAUGCUCUAAUCCUAUUAACCACCAUAAAUCAAGUCAGGCCCUGCUGUAAACAGGGCGUGAGGCAUUUCUGUGGAAAACAGGCAGAGACGAAGAAUGAGCCACGUUCUUCUCAUCUGAGGAGCAGCACGCGGCUUUGUGUCCUCCCAGGGAAAAGAAAUAAAUGCAGCAGCCUUUGAUUGUGACAGGAACCACCAGGUAACACCUGAAGAUCCUUAACAAAACACCCCAGAGCUGGUGUCAGCUCAGCAUCCUUCAGAGGGGCUCGCUGCAGCCACGGUCACAGCAGCAGAAUUUGGCUCAAAGAUUCAGCCUCCAGCUGCAUCUGUUUCUACCUUCUCAUCCAAAUAAGACACAGGAUUUGAAGGAAAAGUUGUUUCCAGGGAUGAGCAUGAAGAGGAGAUAGCAAACAGAAAAAACAAAGUGUGGGGUUUAUGCAUCUCAGGGUAUUUUGGACAACAACAUCGGUUUGAACUCAUCUCUCACUCCAUUGAUCCAUCCUGCUUUAAACAGGAGUCGAUCCAAAGUCCACUGACCUUACUAGUGAGAGUUUUAUAAAUGGUUGGAGGCUGUGAAACAGUUUUAGAAAUUAGGUGUUCGUAUAAAGCAGUUGCUUGUUUUCUGUCUAAUUGUUUUCUUGUGGUUUGCCAUGUUUUUCUAUUGUACACCAAAUUAAUAAAAAUCACUGGAUGAUGAUUUCAACUGAUGUUUAACUUUCUCCAUGGAAUUAAAAAAAAAAAAUAUGUGUUGACAAUAAUAAAACAUUAAACAGAUGGUCACUAUACAGUUAAUGUGUCAGAAAAGAAUAAAAAUGCAGAAACAAAGG
rnacentral:lncRNA from 1 species